rnacentral:lncRNA from 1 species
AUAUUCACAGCUGAAUGUACAAACUGCAUGUAAUUUUCUGAGUUUCCUUGGCUAGAAAACAGGAAUAAUGGUUCUCAUCCUCUAGGGUUGUUUUAAAGACGGAGAUUCUGAAUUAAACGGGAGUAAUGAGUUAUAAUAAUAAUUAACUGGAAAUGAAUCAUAAUAAAUAAGUGGGAGUGAGUGGUCAGCAAGGUAUACUGGGUAAGUAAUGACAUGCUCCUACAGAAACAAGUCAGGACUCCUGAGGGGCCUCUCAGUAUACCAUACAUACAGGGUACUGGUAGAACUCAUGGGCAAAGCAAAAGCAAGUAUGGUAUUAGACUGAACUUGCCAAAAUUAACUUAAAAAAAAUUCUGAUUUUAUGUGUUUUAACCUAUACUUCUGGGGAGUCCUGGACAGCCCGUUAGUGCAGCCUGGUUGUGGUUGGAGAGAUGGUACUAAAAGACAUCAGAGCCAAGCUCCAGUCUGUGACAACCCAAGGACAUCCAGGAGCCACUGGAAGAUGAUGAGAUCAGAUUUGCCUUUAGCACCAUCACUCUGAUCAUGGUGUGCAAUACAGAUGGGGGUGGGGACUAUGAGAAGACCUUAGAUGCAGUUAAAAUUAUUCAAGCAAGAGAGACUGGUGUCAGUGAAUGGAGACAAGUAGGUGGGGUCAAGAAAGUCUAAGAGGUAGAGUGAUUGCCUAGUAUUUGCAAGGCACUGGGUUUGAUCCUCAGCACUGAAAGAAAAAAAGAAACAAGAAAGAAACGAAGAGAAAAAAGGCCAAGAACCUGGGACUGAUUGGAUGGGAGUAAUGAAGAAGGAGGAGUCAAGGACUGCUCUCUGCUUUUUUGGUUUAUGUGACUAAAUGGCUAGUACUGGCGUUCUCUGUGAGAGCAGGGAAAGGAAAAUAGGACUGGAGAAGCUGAAAUCAGCUUUGGACAGAUUUCACCUGAGUUGUCAGUGAACGCCCAAGUAGAGGCAUGCUGGUUAAGUAGGUGGACA